GGAUUAGGCAUGCAAGUCGAACGAGGAUAUAUCCUUCGGGGUAUAAGCCGAGUGGCGCAAGGGUGAGUAAUGCAUAGAUUACCUGCCUCUAGGAUAAGGACAACUUUGUGAAAACGGAGCUAAUACUUAAUAAUACAAAAGAAAAUAAUUUUCUUUUGUCAAUGGGAGGGUAGCAAUACCUUUUGCCUAGAGAGGGGUUUAUGUCCUAUCAGCUUGUUGGUGGGGUAAUGGCCUACCAAGGCGAAGACGGGUAGCCGGUCUUAGAGGAUGGUCGGCCACACUGGGACUGAGACACUGCCCAGACUUCUACGGAAGGCUGCAGUCGAGAAUCUUUCGCAAUGCCCGAAAGGGUGACGAAGCGACGCCGCGUGAGUGAGGAAGGCCUUAGGGUUGUAAAGCUCUGUCAGGAGUUAAGAAAUAUAAGUGUGUUAAUACCACAUUUAUUUGACGAAGGCUCCAAAGGAAGCCACGGCUAACUCUGUGCCAGCAGCCGCGGUAAUACAGAGGUGGCAAGCGUUGUUCGGAAUUAUUGGGCGUAAAGAGCACGUAGGUGGGUUUGUAAGUCAGAUGUGAAAGCCUUCUGUUCAACGGAAGAAUUGCAUCUGAAACUGCAAGUCUUGAGUGUAGGAGGGGAGAAUGGAACUUCUGGUGGAGCGGUGAAAUGCGUAGAUAUCAGAAGGAACGCCGGCGGCGAAAGCGAUUCUCUGGCCUAUUACUGACACUCAGUGUGCGAAAGCUAGGGGAGCAAACGGGAUUAGAUACCCCGGUAGUCCUAGCCGUAAACGAUGGGCACUAAGUAGAGGGGAUUACCGAUGUUCUCUCUGCCGUAGCUAACGCAUUAAGUGCCCCGCCUGGGGAGUACGGCCGCAAGGCUAAAACUCAAAAGAAUUGACGGGGGCUCGCACAAGCGGUGGAGCAUGUGGCUUAAUUCGAUGCAACGCGAAAAACCUUACCGGGGCUUGACAUGGUAGAAGUAGGAACCCGAAAGGGUAACGAACGGUAUCCAGUCCGUAGCUAUCACAGGUGUUGCAUGGCUGUCGUCAGCUCGUGUCGUGAGACGUUGGGUUAAGUCCCCUAACGAGCGAAACCCUUGUUUUUAGUUACCAGCGGGUUAUGCCGGGUACUCUAGAAAGACUGCCGUCGUCAAGACGGAGGAAGGUGGGGAUGACGUCAAGUCAUCAUGGCCCUUAUGCCCCGGGCUGCACACGUGCUACAAUGGUCGGUACAAACGGAAGCGAAGCCGAGAGGUGAAGCGAAUCCUAAAAAGCCGAUCUCAGUUCGGAUUGGAGGCUGAAAUUCGCCUCCAUGAAGUUGGAAUCGCUAGUAAUCGCGGAUCAGCAAUGCCGCGGUGAAUAUGUUCCCGAGCC
rnacentral:rRNA from 1 species